AUACUUACCUGGCGCCGCGGGCCUCGUUGAUCAGCGAGGACGAGCCCCCAGGGCGAGGCGCGAGCACUGCACUGCGCUCACGUUGACCCCUGCCACUACCCCAAACUGGGGCAGAUGGGGCAUGCUAAUUGC
rnacentral:snRNA from 1 species